rnacentral:rRNA from 1 species
UCAAGCUACAAAGGGCGCAUGGUGAAUGCCUUGGCAUCAGGAGCCGAUGAAGGACGUGAUAAGCUGCGAUAAGCUUCGGGUAGGCGCACAUAGCCUGAGAUCCGAAGAUCUCCGAAUGAGGAAACUCACAUGGGAAACCCCAUGUAUCAUUAAGUGAAUACAUAGCUUAAUGAAGGUAACCCAGGGAACUGAAACAUCUAAGUACCUGGAGGAAGAGAAAGAAAAAUCGAUUUUCUUAGUAGCGGCGAGCGAAAGGGAAAGAGCCCAAACCGGAAACUUGUUUCCGGGGUUGUGGACAUAACAUAAAAGUGGAGGCUAUUGUAACUGAAGAGAACUGGAAAGUUCCACCGUAGAAGGUAAUAGUCCUGUAAGUGAAACGAGAAGACCACGAGUUAUGAUCCAGAGUACCACGAGACACGUGAAACCUUGUGGGAAGCAGGGAGGACCACCUCCCAAGGCUAAAUACUACCUGAUGACCGAUAGUGAAGCAGUACCGUGAGGGAAAGGUGAAAAGAACCCCGGGAGGGGAGUGAAAUAGAACCUGAAACCGUGUGCCUACAACCGCUCAGAGCCCCUUAUGAGGGUGAUGAGGUGCUUUUUGUAGAACGAGCCAACGAGUUACGGUAUGUAGCAAGGUUAAGUACUUAAGGUACGGAGCCGAAGGGAAACCGAGUCUGAAUAGGGCGACUAGUUGCAUGCCGUAGACCCGAAACCGGGUGACCUAUCCAUGGCCAGGUUGAAGCGAGGGUAAAACCUCGUGGAGGACCGAACCACGUUGCUGUUGAAAAAGCAUGGGAUGAGCUGUGGAUAGCGGAGAAAUUCCAAUCGAACCCGGAGAUAGCUGGUUCUCUCCGAAAUAGCUUUAGGGCUAGCGUCGAGUAUGAGUAGUGGAGGUAGAGCACUGAAUGGGCUAGGGGGCAUAGCGCUUACCGAACCUUAUCAAACUCCGAAUGCCACAUACUUUGAGCUCGGCAGUCAGACUACGAAUGAUAAGAUCCGUGGUCAAAAGGGAAACAGCCCAGAUCGUCAGCUAAGGUCCCAAAGUGUAAGUUAAGUGGGAAAGUAUGUGAGAUUUCUAAGACAACUAGGAUGUUGGCUUAGAAGCAGCCAUUCAUUAAAAGAGUGCGUAAUAGCUCACUAGUCGAGAGAUCUUGCGCCGAAAAUGUAACGGGGCUAAACUUACCACCGAAGCUACGGGCUUGAACUUAGUUCAAGCGGUAGGAGAGCGUCGUAACCGGGCUGAAGUCGUACCGUAAGGAGCGGUGGACUGGUUACGAGUGAGAAUGUUGGCAUCAGUAGCGAGAUGUGGGUGAGAAUCCCACAGGCCGAAAACCUAAGGUUUCCUCAGGAAGGUUCGUCCGCUGAGGGUUAGUCGGGACCUAAGCCGAGGCCGAAAGGCGUAGGUGAUGGACAACUGGUUGAUAUUCCAGUACCACUACUAUCGUUAUUAUCGAUGGCGUGACGCAGGAGGAUAGUGUGUGCUAGCUAUUGGAUGCUAGUCUAAGCGUUUAGGCAGUGAGAGUAGGCAAAUCCGCUCUCAUAAUGCUGAGGCGUGAUGGGGAAGGUUCCACGGAACCGAAGUACAUGAUUCCACGCUGCCAAGAAAAGCGUCUAGAGAGAGAAGUAGUGCCCGUACCGCAAACCGACACAGGUAGGUGAGGAGAGAAUCCUAAGGCCGGCGGAAGAAUUACAGUUAAGGAACUCGGCAAAUUGACCCCGUAAGUUCGCGAGAAGGGGUGCCUACGAGAGUAGGCCGCAGAGAAUAGGCCCAAGCAACUGUUUAGCAAAAACACAGGUCUCUGCUAAAGCGUAAGCUGAUGUAUAGGGGCUGACGCCUGCCCGGUGCUGGAAGGUUAAGGGGAACACUUAGCGCAAGCGAAGGUGUGAACUUAAGCCCCAGUAAACGGCGGCCGUAACUAUAACGGUCCUAAGGUAGCGAAAUUCCUUGUCAGGUAAGUUCUGACCCGCACGAAUGGCGUAAUGACUUGGGCACUGUCUCAACUGUAAAUCCGGCGAAGUUGUAGUGCGAGUGAAGAUGCUCGCUACCCGCGAUUGGACGGAAAGACCCCGUAGAGCUUUACUGUAGCUUAGCAUUGAGUUUUGGUAUUGUCUGUACAGGAUAGGUGGGAGACUAGGAAACCAGGGCGUCAGCCUUGGUGGAGUCAACCUUGGGAUACCACCCUGACAGUACUGAAAUUCUAACUGGCGGCCAUGAAUCUGGUCACAGGACAUUGUUAGGUGGGCAGUUUGACUGGGGCGGUCGCCUCCUAAAAAGUAACGGAGGCGCCCAAAGGUUCCCUCAGAACGGUCGGAAAUCGUUCGAAGAGUGCAAAGGCAGAAGGGAGCCUGACUGCGACACCCACAAGUGGAGCAGGGACGAAAGUCGGGCUUAGUGAUCCGGUGGUACCUCGUGGGAGGGCCAUCGCUCAACGGAUAAAAGCUACCUCGGGGAUAACAGGCUGAUCUCCCCCAAGAGUCCACAUCGACGGGGAGGUUUGGCACCUCGAUGUCGGCUCGUCGCAUCCUGGGGCUGAAGUAGGUCCCAAGGGUUGGGCUGUUCGCCCAUUAAAGCGGCACGCGAGCUGGGUUCAGAACGUCGUGAGACAGUUCGGUCCCUAUCCGUCGCGGGCGUAGGAAAUUUGAGAGGAGCUGUCCUUAGUACGAGAGGACCGGGAUGGACUGACCUCUGGUGUACCAGUUGUUCCGCCAGGAGCACAGCUGGGUAGCUAAGUCGGGAAUGGAUAAACGCUGAAAGCAUCUAAGCGUGAAGCCAACCUCAAGAUGAGAUUUCCCAUAGCGUAAGCUAGUAAGAUCCCUUGAAGAACACAAGGUUGAUAGGUCGGGGGUGUAAGCAUGGUAACAUGUUCAGCUGACCGAUACUAAUAGAUCGAGGGCUUGACCAA